UCUGCCCAGAACUUUUAACUAAAGGGAGAGAGAGGAAAAAAACUUAUCUUGCAUUUUAUUUUUAGCUGGUUCUCUAAACAGCAUAAGCAAUUAAUUAACAGUUUGGACAAACUGGUCAGAACCUGCUGAAUACCACCUCUGAUA